UGUCAAAAAGUGUUCUUUGGAGUGUUUUUUACUUGAUUUACAAUGUGGGAUUACACUGAUGUGCCGUUUUGUCGAAGUUAAUAUUGUUUGUAUGCUCGCAUUGCUUAUGUGUUGUUAUUUUCUAACAGAUGUUUUUGAGAAGUCACUCAAUACAUGCUGCGUCCUAAUAUUAAUUCUUCGUUUGUCCAGUCAUUUCCUCUGUCCAGUGGGUGGAGAGCCAGCCAGAGACCAGUUAAAGGAGUUUGGCAUCCGUUUUACACACAUACACACACAACGCAGAGUCCACAUCCCAUCACAUGGGGCCGGUUACAUUGGCAAAUCCGGUUGUUCUCAAACUGUGGCAAAAAUGUCCUUUUUUGGUGCACCUUCAGGAGGAGGUGGACACCCAGCCUCUUCCCUACUGAAUUUGCAAAGAUGCCAAAGGUGCCCUGUGUCACCUGUAAUACUGCCAUGCCACUGCAAAUGUUGGCAUUACAUGCUGAGGAGUGCAAACAAAAUUCAAAUAUGGGAAGCCAUUCAAUUUCACACCAAAAGUGGGACGAAACAGCAUGGUGUUACAGAGCUCACGGACAGAGCAGGGUGUUUUCUAGCAGCACCCAAUGGGUGCAAACUAAUCUUGUCAUCUCUGCGGUCACCAAUUAAAACAGCCACAAGUUCAUUAGGCCACUCAUUUAAAUUUUACCCAUAAACCUCUGCUUUUAUUAAUGGAAAUCAGCAAGAUCAAAUGGCUAGGCGCAUCGUAGAACGAUGUUAAGUAGUUCUGACAUUUUGAAAAGAAUCGAGGAGGCUCUAGGGGACAGAGACAUUAAUUCACAAAAUGAGAGUAGAAGACUUUUUAAUCGUUUGAUAGAAACCAGACCAACAACUCCAGCAUUUCAGUUCUCAUGGAACUUGAGUGGUGAGGCCUCAAGUGGAUCUGUGAACAUGAGAAGAAGGUAAAAUAGUGAAUAAAAAUAUACUAUGCUAUUUAUCUAGCAAAGUAUUUGCAUUAAGUCACUGAUGUUGUUUUAAUUCAGUAUUGAACUGCCUGAAGUAAGAUAUGUUAUUUCUGAAUUAGAUAAUGAAAAUGCAUGUGCACAAUUGCAUUUUCUUAUUUUUUUUUUUUUUAGGUGCCAAAGAAACACAGGUGGUCCUUUCUUUAGAGAAGUAUGUCUUUUGACCUCCCUGGAAACCUCAGUUGUCCCUAAGGAAAUGGCAAGAGUCCGACUCCUAAAGUCAUGAUCAGGAGCUGUUUGCAUUUCACUCAUCUCGGGGUGAUGGGGAUAUCUCAGGACCAUACCAACUGUUUGGAAAUAUAAAAUGAUAUCUAUACACAAAAGCUAAAAAAAAAAAAGACUAAAUUCACUUGAAUCACCAUAAGAACAGAUUCCAGCAGUUACCUGAAACAACAGACAAAAUGAAUGAUCUCUACAAAUAUUCUUAUACAUUACCUUUCAUGCAAAACCUUUUCUCAGAUGCAAAAUGUUUUUACAAAUAGUGAUUUUCAUUCGGACUUUAUUUGUUCUGUAUUCAAAUAGCUGUACAUAGUAUGGAAAUAACCCAUUGCCCAGUAAGAACACAUUUUUAUUAUAUACUGACAUGAUAACUUUUGGUGAAUAAAUUAUGACAUGGUGAAUUACUGUAUGCCUUUGAACCCAAUAGAGUCAUACCUUCAAGCAAAUGAUGUGCAUAAGGUGUGUCUCGAUUAUACUGACCAAGCUUAAAUGUGAUUGGUCAUUUCCUCAAAAACAAACUAUCCUCAAAAUCUUUUUGCUAUCAAAAACAACCCGACUCAGAAAUAUGAUGCAUCUUUAAAUCUAUACAGAUAAUAAAAAUAUUUUAUAAGGAGAAGAAGUCUUCUUAUAUAGCUUCUGGGUUAAAUUUUGAUUUGCGAUCAGGUAAAUGCAUGUUAAACAAUGGUAUGUAUGUUAUCUAAGGUUGCAUCCACACGAAGCCAGAGCUUUCCCUAUCCGACCUUUUUUUUCCCUUGUCUCAAGAAAUAUCUGCGUACACACAAAACCACUGAAACCGACUCAAAACAAUGUAGUAUACAUGCCAGAUCAGUAUGUGGCUCUGUAAUUCUGCCAAAGAGAUAGACUAAAAUUGGAGAAUAAGACUUGGAGCAUGCACAUAAACCUUGCACGCUGUAUAUAAACUUUAGUAAAGCUUAGAAAUAAAGCUUUUUUUUAGCAAAGCUAAUAGGCUCGGUAGCUUCUGCGGCAUGAACACAAGCAUGUAGUCCGCUGUUGUUGUUGUUGUUGUUGCUGUUACGUGACAUAACAGUGUCUGACUAGGGUCGACAUGUGGGAUGAUGACAUUGGUGUCAUUUUCAGAUUUAUCCACUCUGGGACCCGCUUUCAUAAAUAUCAGUUUUACGUUCUUAAAACACCGAAUCCGUCUGAACGAAAGGCCUAUAUGAUACAAAAAUUUCUGAAAGCUCCCAAGUGUACCACGUGGUCUCUGUACCACCUGACCGCUGUAGAUUCAUUUAAGCAUUGAUCGUGGUGCCAUAGAAAUGCAUAAUUCCCAGCCCGAGGACGUGAACGGCUCCGAAUAUAAUGUCACGUGUUGUCAUCAAGAUUACGCUAAUUAUGCGGUGGUGUGAAUGCAGCAAAAAAUACACUUUAUUUCAGUAUACUUAGCACACUUCCAUAAUGUACUUAAAGUGCUCUAUUUUUGUGCACUAAUUUUGUACUUAAUAUACUAAAAAUCCUUCUUUAGUACUUCUUAAGAACAACACAACAGUGUACUCAACUGUGCUAUUUUGAGACACCAUGAAUAUAAACUAAAAUGUGCUUUUUACAUACUAUCUCUGUAUUAAAAAAAAAUUAUAAAUUAAAAAAACUAUUUAGUUACCACUUGUAAACUAAAGCGGUCAGGUGGGGUACAGCGGCCACGUGAUACACGUGGGAGCUUUCAGAAAAUUCCCAGCUUACAAACUGUAAUUACGAACUCUACGAGGACGUGAAUGCAGCCAACGGUGGAGCCCGGAGAAAUGGAGACCCUGGCGCAGCCAAGGAGAUGGUGAGACCAGACAACACCGUAGGUUCAGGAGACCAGGGCAGAACCGCAGAGACAAGCAGCUGUGGUGGAGGCAGGGUGCUGGUGGACUGAAGCAGAGCCGGUGUGACUAAGGUGGAGCUGGCGGGAAGGCAAAGCCCGACAGAGCCGAAGGGGUGGAGGGAUGAAGCGCAGCUGAUGUCCCAGAAGUCCAUGGCACAAGCAGAGCGACAUCUGACCAAGGUGAAGCCGGAGAGAAGAGGGAGCCCAGGGGAGCUGUGAGGACGACGGUCCCUGGUGGAGCCGACUUGUCGACAGGCCGAGGUAGAGUUAAGGGCUAGGCAGAAUACAAACUGUUGCACUUUUUUGCAUGAGAUUUACAACCUGUUGCACUUUUUACCCUUUUGAUGUUAAAAAAAAAAAUGGAAAAAAAACAUCACUAACCGCACAUGCUUCAUUCACCACUUGCGUUUGUACUGUUAAAAGUGUUGGUGUAUUAUCUACAACUGCAUAAGGGGAAAAACACAAUCUGAUAAUGAAAUACACUG